GAUGAACGCUGGCGGCGUGCCUAAUACAUGCAAGUCGAACGGGGAGUAGCAAUACUCUUAGUGGCGAACGGGUGAGUAACGCGUUGGUACCUGCCCCGAAGCGGGGGAUAACGGACCGAAAGGUCCGCUAAUACCCCAUGUGCUCGGUAACGAGUAAAGGUGAAAACCACUUUGGGAGGGGCCUGCGUCCCAUCAGCUAGUUGGUAAGGUAACGGCUUACCAAGGCGAUGACGGGUAGGGGACCUGAGAGGGUGGCCCCCCACAAUGGAGCUGAAACACGGUCCAUACACCUACGGGUGGCAGCAGUAGGGAAUAUUGGUAAUGGGCGCAAGCCUGAACCAGCAACGCCGCGUGUGCGAUGACGGCCUUCGGGUUGUAAAGCACUUUUGACUGGGACGAGGAAGGACGGUACCGGUCGAAUCAGCCUCGGCUAACUACGUG
rnacentral:rRNA from 1 species